rnacentral:rRNA from 1 species
ACGUAGGGUCCAAGCGUUGUCCGGAUUUACUGGGCGUAAAGAGCGCGUAGGCGGUCUGUUAAGUGUGAAGUGAAAUCUCCAGGGCUCAACCCGGAAACUGCUUCGCAUACUGGCAGACUGGAGGGAUGCAGAGGUUUGUGGAAUUCCUGGUGUAGCGGUGAAAUGCAUAGAUAUCAGGAGGAACACCCAUGGCGAAGGCAGCAAACUGGGCAUCAUCUGACGCUGAGGCGCGAAAGCGUGGGUAGCAAACAGGAUUAGAUACCCUGGUAGUCCACGCCCUAAACGAUGGAUACUAGGCGUAAGAGGUAUCGACCCCUCUUGUGCCGCAGCUAACGCAUUAAGUAUCCCGCCUGGGGAGUACGGCCGCAAGGUUG